rnacentral:rRNA from 1 species
GAACCGUCCAAACGUUUAUUCGGAAUCACUGGGCUUAAAGGGUGCGUAGGCGGUCCGGAAAGUUGGGUGUGAAAUCCCUCGGCUCAACCGAGGAAUUGCGCCCAAAACUUCCGGACUUGAGUGAGGCAGAGGUGAGCGGAACUUGCGGUGGAGCGGUGAAAUGCGUUGAUAUCGCAAGGAACACCAGUAGCGAAGGCGGCUCACUGGGCCUUUUCUGACGCUGAGGCACGAAAGCUAGGGUAGCGAACGGGAUUAGAUACCCCGGGUAGUCCUAGCUGUAAACGAUGAGCACUUGGCUGGAGGAGCUUAGGUUCUUCCAGCCGUAGCGAAAGUGUUAAGUGCUCCGCCUGGGGAGUAUGGUCGCAAGGCUG